rnacentral:rRNA from 1 species
CAGCCGCCGCGGUAAUACGUAGGUGGCAAGCGUUGUCCGGAAUUAUUGGGCGUAAAGGGCUCGCAGGCGGUUUCUUAAGUCUGAUGUGAAAGCCCCCGGCUCAACCGGGGAGGGUCAUUGGAAACUGGGAAACUUGAGUGCAGAAGAGGAGAGUGGAAUUCCACGUGUAGCGGUGAAAUGCGUAGAGAUGUGGAGGAACACCAGUGGCGAAGGCGACUCUCUGGUCUGUAACUGACGCUGAGGAGCGAAAGCGUGGGGAGCGAACAGGAUUAGAUACCCCGGUAGUCCCUGUCCUUAUACA